rnacentral:rRNA from 1 species
CCUACGGGAGGCAGCAGUGGGGAAUAUUGGACAAUGGGCGAAAGCCUGAUCCAGCAAUGCCGCGUGAGUGAUGAAGGCCUUCGGGUCGUAAAGCUCUUUUACCAGGGAUGAUAAUGACAGUACCUGGAGAAUAAGCUCCGGCUAACUCCGUGCCAGCAGCCGCGGUAAUACGGAGGGAGCUAGCGUUGUUCGGAAUUACUGGGCGUAAAGAGUACGUAGGCGGUUAUUCAAGUCAGAGGUGAAAGCCCGGGGCUCAACCCCGGAACUGCCUUUGAAACUAGAUAACUAGAGUCUUGGAGAGGUUAGUGGAAUUCCGAGUGUAGAGGUGAAAUUCGUAGAUAUUCGGAAGAACACCAGUGGCGAAGGCGACUAACUGGACAAGUACUGACGCUGAGGUACGAAAGCGUGGGGAGCAAACAGGAUUAGAUACCCUGGUAGUCCACGCCGUAAACGAUGAUAACUAGUUGUUCGGUCACUUGGUGACUGAGUGACGCAGCUAACGCAUUAGUAUCCGCCUGGGAUCGGUGCAGNUAAACUAAUGAAUUGACGGNNGNGANGCAGNGANAGAGGAGAG